GCCUCUUCGUUAAUUCUCCUGCCCCCCCUCCCAUUCCUCAAGUAACUAUAAUGGGAUUCACUUUCUAUGAUCUCCCUCCUCGCUCUGCUCUGAUAGACAUGAGGCUGCAACUCUCAUCUCUGCAGAAAUUAAUUAUGUAUUACCUUAUAGAGCCGCGCGAUGGCUUCUGGAGGAGCUGCAGCACGCCUGAUAAAUUCAAAUACAUUUGACAAAGUUAUAGAAUUACUGCUGUCUGUUCAGAAAUAAAUGAAAUGAUUCCGAAUAGUUUACGACAUCAUUAGAAAGCCUAAAACGUUGGCUAGGUGUGGGGUGUAGACCAAGAACAAGGCAUAGCCUCCAGUCAGGAACACGCAACAAAUCUGUCAGAGAACAAAGAAUGCAGACAAAACCUUUUGCAAUAUUACAAAGUCUACAGUCGCGGGAAAACACAGGUUGGAAAGCAAAUGGCUCCUGCUGAAAAGAGAAGACUAAUCUGUAAAAUGUAGGCUACCAAGAUAUUUCAUCAACUUGCAAAUAGUGUUUUACAAAGUAAAACGAGAGAAAGAAGUAGUGAGUGAGAGACAGGCUGUUAGUAUUAGCGCAUAUGCCAUCACCAGAGAGUGAGCAGCACAUCAUUGGGGGGAGUUAUCAUUUGAACAGGACAGUCUGGUUGAGGGGUGCCGCGAGGUGCGUCAGUUCCGCUCGGACCUCCACCUGGUGAGGUUCUACUUCCUGACGCGUCUCUACUCGGCCUACAUGAAGAACAUCCUAGCUGACUUCCGCACCGGCCUCAAACCUGACUUCCUGAUUUGUCGACUCCUGUAUCUGGGAUGUCUCCAGCAGCAGGUUAGCGGACGCCUACACACUGGACUUCUGGUUCCGCCACAGGCUGCAGCAUCGGGAGCUUGAUGGGAUCCACUGGGAUGCCCUGGAGCACCAACGAAUCACCUGCCUGGAGUCAGAGCACGCUGCCCGGACCUGGGGGAGUGGAGCUGCACCACGGCUCCCCACACUCUGCUCCAGGUGGCCGUUACGGUUAUGACAUAGUGGGUUACGGGAAUGACUGGUUAUGGAGUUGACAUAGUUACGGUUAUGACAUAGUGGGUUACGGGAAUGACUGGUUAUGGAGUUGACAUAGUUACGGUUAUGACAUAGUGGGUUACGGGAAUGACUGGUUAUGGAGUUGACAUAGUUACGGUUAUGACAUAGUGUGUUACGGGAAUGACUGGUUAUGGAGUUAACAUAGUUACGGUUAUGACAUAGUGGGUUACGGGAAUGACUGGUUAUGGAGUUGGCAUAGUUACGGUUAUGACAUAGUGGGUUACGGGAAUGACUGGUUAUGGAGUUGGCAUAGUUACGGUUAUGUGUACUGUAGACUAGUCAUGUGUACUGUAGUCUGGUGAGGAUGGUGAUGUGUACUGUAGUCUGGUGAUGGUGAUGUGUACUGUAGUCUGGUGAGGGUGAUGGUGAUGUGUACUGUAGUCUGGUGAUGGUGAUGGUGAUGUGUACUGUAGUCUGGUGAGGGUGAUGGUGAUGUGUACUGUAGUCUGGUGAGGGUGAUAUGUACUGUAGUCUGGUGAUGAUGUGGAUGUGUACUGAAUACUGGAACAAUAUUUCUAACAUAAGAAUGUGGGGAAUGGUCAGAGGCGAUCUAAAGAACGUGGGGAAUGGUCAGAGGUGAUCUAAAGAACGUGGGGAAUGGUCAGGCGAUCUAAAGAACGUGGGGAAUGGUCAGAGGCGAUCUAAAGAACGUGGGGAAUGGUCAGAGGCGAGCUAAAGAACGUGGGGAAUGGUCAGAGGCGAUCUAAAGAACGUGGGGAAUGGUCAGAGGCGAGCCAAAGAACGUGGGGAAUGGUCAGAGGCGAUCUAAAGAACGUGGGGAAUGGUCAGAGGCGAUCUAAAGAACGUGGGGAAUGGUCAGAGGCGAUCUAAAGAACGUGGGGAAUGGUCAGAG
rnacentral:lncRNA from 1 species